rnacentral:misc_RNA from 1 species
GAUGAAGAACGUAGCGAAAUGCGAUAAGUAAUGUGAAUUGCAGAGUUCAGUGAAUCAUCGAAUCUUUGAACGCACAUUGCGCCCGUCAGUAUUCUGACGGGCAUGCCUGUCCGAGCGUCAUUUCAACCCUCAAGCACUGCUUGUCGUUGGCGGAUUGCGUGCCCUCGCGGCGCUGCAACCGCCCAAAUACAGUGGCGGUCCCGCUGCGGCUCCCUUUGCGUAGUAACUCACCUCGCACUGGACCGGGCGGCGGCCUGCCGUAAAACCCCAACUCACGAAAUGUUGACCUCGGAUCAGGUAGGAAUACCCGCUGAACUUAAGCAUAUCAAUAAGCGGAGGA